GGGCCUGUAGCUCAGCUGGUUAGAGCGCUGUGCUGAUAACGCAGAGGCCAGAGGUUCGAGUCCUCUCAGGCCCACUA
rnacentral:tRNA from 1 species